rnacentral:rRNA from 1 species
UGCGCAGGCGGACUUUUAAGUCAGUGGUGAAAUCCCGAGGCUCAACCUCGGAACUGCCAUUGAUACUGGAAGUCUUGAAUUUGGUUGAAGUGGGCGGAAUGUAGCAUGUAGCGGUGAAAUGCUUAGAUAUGCUACAGAACACCGAUCGCGAAGGCGGCUCACUAAGCCAAUAUUGACGCUCAGGCACGAAAGCGUGGGGAGCAAACAGGAUUAGAUACCCUGGUAGUCC